UACGUAGGGUGCAAGCAUUGUCCGGAAUUAUUGGGCGUAAAGAGCUCGUAGGCGGUCUGUCGCGUCGGCUGUGAAAACCCGGGGCUCAACCCCGGGCCUGCAGUCGAUACGGGCAGACUAGAGUGCGGUAGGGGAGACUGGAAUUCCUGGUGUAGCGGUGAAAUGCGCAGAUAUCAGGAGGAACACCGGUGGCGAAGGCGGGUCUCUGGGCCGUAACUGACGCUGAGGAGCGAAAGCGUGGGGAGCGAACAGG
rnacentral:rRNA from 1 species